GAUGAACGCUGGCGGCGUGCCUAAUGCAUGCAAGUCGAGCGAACAGACGAGGAGCUUGCUCCUCUGACGUUAGCGGCGGACGGGUGAGUAACACGUGGAUAACCUACCUAUAAGACUGGGAUAACUUCGGGAAACCGGAGCUAAUACCGGAUAACAUGUUGAACCGCAUGGUUCAAUAGUGAAAGACGGUUUUGCUGUCACUUAUAGAUGGAUCCGCGCCGCAUUAGCUAGUUGGUAAGGUAACGGCUUACCAAGGCAACGAUGCGUAGCCGACCUGAGAGGGUGAUCGGCCACACUGGAACUGAGACACGGUCCAGACUCCUACGGGAGGCAGCAGUAGGGAAUCUUCCGCAAUGGGCGAAAGCCUGACGGAGCAACGCCGCGUGAGUGAAGAAGGUCUUCGGAUCGUAAAACUCUGUUAUUAGGGAAGAACAAAUGUGUAAGUAACUAUGCACGUCUUGACGGUACCUAAUCAGAAAGCCACGGCUAACUACGUG
rnacentral:rRNA from 1 species